GCACAACGGUAGAGUUGCUGCCUUACAGUGCCAGAGGCCCGAGUUCGAUCCUGACUAGGGGUCCUGUCUGUCCAAAUUUCUGUACAUUUUCCCUGUGACCGUGUGCAUUUUCUCCAGGUGCUCCGGUUUCCUCCCACACUCCAAAGGCAUACAGGUUUGUAGGUUAAUUGGCUUCGAUAAAAUUGUAAAUUGUUCCGAGUGUGUAGGAUAGUGCGAGUGUACGGGGUGAGCUAGUUGGUGGGCUGAAGGGCUUGUGUCCGCACAGUGUCUCUAAAGUCCUAAGUUAUGCUUUAUGUUUCAAUCUGAAUGGAAACCAAUAUCUAGUUUGUGCUAGAGUCCAGUUUUGCCCUCGUGUUUUAUGCCUCUAGCUCCAAUCUAGGCUGCCACUGGGGACAUCAGUAAAUCUGCAGUGCACAGAUGUAUAGAGUAGGUGACUGAUGCAUUGUUUGCCAGAGGUAGCACUUAACUUUCCCCGUGGACAGCCAACAACAGCAUGAGGGGCCACAGCAUUUUUCAAGUAGCAAGGUUACCCAAGGUCCAGUGUGUUAUUGAUGGUACCCAAAUGGCCCUGUGUGCUUCAGUGUACAAUAAUUGUUCAUUCAUGACUGCAAAGGAUUACCCCACUAUUAAUGAGCCACCAUCUGCACAGAAGCAUGCAGGUAAACGUCUGCAGCUUAAGCAGCAUUUCUCAUCCCUUUGUUUUAAGGCAAUAUGCAAUGCCACCCAGAAAAAGAGAGUGUAAAAUUAGUUCCCAGGAGAUUAAUUUUAAGCCCUGCAGCUCAAACUCAUGAGUCUCCAUAGCAACUAUGUCCAGGUAAAAUAAGGUACACUCAUCCACCAAAUUUAUCCUCCAAGAUGCUAUAGUGUUUGGUAAUAACAGAGACCCUGCAACACAGUAUAAUAAAAUAGAUGUUGCUGAGAUGAGAAAGUUAUGCAACUGGAAAUACCAGACAAUGAUCAGCAAAGAUAUGACAUGGUAGGAGAAUAUAUUGAAUUAAUUGCUACUGAAACAUACUGUCAGGUACUUGUUUGCAGGUACUUGCAGAACCACAUUACCACAUUCUCAGUAUCUAUCCACUCAUUAAGGAGCAGUGCUCCCAAUUCUUCCAAAUCCUGAAGAAUACAUCUUCACCUACAGUAACAUGACAUUUACUGAGCUGCUGCAGGUGUCAGCCCUUGGCAAAGUCCGACUCCAUAACAAGAAAUAUCUCCAGAGACAGUUCCACUGAAAUAAAUGCAAGUAAAUGUCCAUCCUGUGCUUAUGAACUGUCUGUUUAGUUCCUCAUACAGUGUGCAUUUGGCCUACCUAAGAGUACCUGCAUAAUACAUACAAUCAAGACUAUCUUUCCAAAGUCACCAGCUUCAACAUUUCUCCAUCUGCAAUAAUUGAACUAUUCCUGACAACUUCACAGCCAAACACUACAGUGAACAUAGUGAUGGAAGAAAUUGCCAAUACGUCAUUUAUCUAGCAUUUGUUCACCCCCAACCUACUUACUUAUACUUUGGUUGGGCUAGCCCGUUUUUAGGUCUUGGGUUAUUAUUUAGACUUAGAAGCUAGAUGUCAAGAAGGGAAAAGAACGGCCCUUGCAAUCAAGACAGUUUUCAACCAAGUGCUGCAACGAGGUACAAGAAAGAUAUGAUAUACAUUGGAAAAUCCCUUAAUAGCCGACAAAGGAAGAUAGUUGUCAUUGUUGGUGAAUCAGAGAAGCAGAAUAUUGUUGUUGCAAUGCCAUCUUGUUGAAAUCUCUUCAGCUAUCGGGGAACCCAGAGUAGGGAGAUCAAGAACCAAAAAGACAUAGGUCUGACGGGAAAGAUUUAAUAUGAACCUGAGGGGCAUCUUUUUCACACAAGAGUGGUGGGCAUAUGGAACGAGCUGCCAAAGGAGGUAGUUGAGUCAGAUACUAUAACAACAUAUAAAAUACAUUUGGACAAGUGCAUGGAUAGGAAAGGUUUAGAGCGACAUGGGCAAGCGCGACUAGUGUAGACAGGGCACCUUGGUCAACAUAGGCAAGUUGGACCGAAGUGUCUGUUCCCAUGCUGUAGGAUUUUAUGUAGCUUUUGGCAUCAUGGGUUUAAGUUUCACUGGACAGUUGGAUGCAAAUAAGUGAAUAGGUUCAAGAAAAAUUAGACAUGAAAACAGUAAUGAAUCAUGGCCAUCUCCUCACUUGUUCAGAUGUGUGUCCUCAAAGUUUUGUUUUGUUUAUUGUCACAUGUAUCAAGGUACAGUGAAAAGCUUUUGUUGUGUGCUAACAAGUCAUGCAUGAUUACAAUCGAGCCAUCCACAGUGUCCAGAUGCAUGAUAAAGUGAAUAACAUUUAGUAGAAGAUGAAGUCCAGUAAAGUCUGAUUAAAGAUGGUCCAAGGGUCUCCAAUGAGGUAGAUAGUAGCUCAAGACCACUCUCUAGGUGUUGGUAGGAUGGUUCACUUGCCUGAUAACAGCUGGAAAGAAACUGUCCCUGAAUCUGAAGGUGUGCAUUGAUGAUAGUUUGAUUUACGUUUCCUCUCAUUUCCUGGACUGCCUUCUGCGAGUCAAUUAGCAAAGGUUUGAGUGAAUACAUGAAUAAGUCGCACAGUCGACUAAGUGGACAGAACCUGUUAGAGAGGAGACUAUUUGAGAACCAAGGGAAGAGAUAUGUACAAGGGAGGUUUCUUCUCCAGUGCACCCUUCUCCACAAUAGCCAGUCAUGAGAAGCACUUAAGGUUCUAUAAUCCCAUAACUCCAAUAUCAAUAUAUGCUUUGUAGAUGGCAGAUGGUGGAAUUCCUUCUAAAAUGCAAGCUACCAAAGAGAAGCAUUAUUGACACUGAGAAGCUUGACUCCAGUGUGUAAAUGAGGCUGACCCUGGAGACUGAGGCAAGGUCAACAAAGUAAAGGUUAGAUGAAUGCCAAUGACAAACUGCCAAAUUGAAGGCCUCAGACCAAAAUUAGAGCUUCACUGAUAGGAUUGUAAAAAAUGUUGAAAUAUCCAUUGCACAAAUGUUCUAUCUGUAUUUGCAUCAUGCAUCAGCUAAACCCAGCCUUUAAUUAUUUAGCACUGUUUCCACACAAUGGUAGAUUUAAUCCAGAUAAAUAGUAGUAUAACUAUGAAAUUGGUUGCCACCUGCCUAGCUAAUGGAUUGGAAUGAGGAAACAAUGGAAAAUGGCCCUGUUGAAGUUAUAUUCAGUUUUGGGAAAGAAAUAUAGAAAGGCGUAAGCAAUAUUACUAAUUGAACAUCUUCAGAUGACAAGAAAGUCGAUUCCAAGGGAGAAGAGCAUGCAAACAGGAAGGUGAUGAGUGACUAUGAAGUGAUGACAGUGAGCCGAGCUAGAAAAUGGAGAGAGGGAAACAUACCCCUACUUCCUGAAUACCAGCAAGUUCUGUAGUGAGCAGAUUAAGUUGCAGUGGGCAAAAAAUGUUCUUCAACAUGGAUCAAGUUGGCUGCUGCGGAUUAUAUUUGGGAGCUAAAAGGUCAUUCGCAGAUUGGCAGAUGACCUUGAGGGAGCAGGUAAACACGCCACCCCCGGAGACUCGACGGCACUAUGGUUCGCUGAUGUUCCAGAAUAUUAACUUUCAGCUACGAUGCCAAGGGCUGCUUUCAGAAUAAGAACGGAGGUACAGUAAUCUGAUUUAUGCCGCCGGGAAAUCCACAUUUACUGAUGAAGCUAUGAUUGCAGUUUAAGGAAUACAGGGCUCUUUCAACAUUCCUACCAUUUGCCUCUUAUCUUUACCCUAACGGUUUCAAUUACGAUGGCGCAGUACAUUACAAACGCCGACAUCCCGAAUCAUAUUGUUUACAUCCACAUUGCAAGGUAAUGUAUUGCAAAAUGUCUUCAUAUAUAAUCCGUUGGAUAAAAGCUUAUCCAGCCUUCUUAAACGGAUAAAGGAGAUAAAAACGUGAUUCAAGUCAGAUCUGUUCCCCGCAAGCCUCAAUUGAAUGGCUUACAUGAUAGAGGUUGUCCUUUGCACUGGUUUCAAUAUUUCUCACUGCGUUUCCCUAUGUUGUUACACGCAUACCUCUUUCCCUGUAAAGGUGUUGCUCCAGAACAGAGACAAAUACAGAUUGACGUCACUUAUAUUGAUGUAUUUUAUGACCGAUACACACUCCUAUCAGUUUCAAUGUGUAUCGUUUCCAUUACUUCUUAAUGAAUCGUGCUGUGGUACCCGAAAUGUAACGAUAUACAAUGUUCCUAUCGUUACCCACCGGGAGAUAAUCCACGGUGUUCAUGGUAAAAUGAUGAGAGUCCAAUUUGUUAGGGGGGGAUGAGGUGUGGACUGAUUUUGAAACCGAUAUAUAAUGUGUAGGCUGAAGAAAGAAUGAACUGGAAGCGAAGAAAACCUGGUCUUAAAGACAUUCUGACAUUUCCGGGAACAAUCAAAAUAAGCUUCGUUGCACAGCGGAAAAAAUACCAAUAAGUCUACAAGGUUCAUCUUGGGUAAACAUGAAUCAUAAUUUACCAUACCGACGCAUAUAUAAAGAUUCUAAAGCACAUUAUGGCGAAGCUGAAAUUUGGAUUCAAUACAAACUUAUAGCAAACCUCAGUUUCCCCAUUGCCAAUUCUUGCUUCUGACGGCUUCUGACUGAAUGCAAUUCGUUGUUAAAUGUGAUCGCACAAAAGAUGCAAAACUUUUUUUUUUUUAAAAGGACGAAAGGUACUCAUUUUUAUCUGCAUUACAUUGAUUUCGCUUAAGGGAAGCGACAUUGAAUGGUAAUAAUAUAGACACAGUGUCCACCAAUGUGCGACAAAUAUCCAUCGCAGAUUUUUUCGGUAGGAUUUCAUUCACAGACAGCAACAUGGUCCAAAAACAUAGUAUUAAUCCGAUAUUUGUCUGCGCUGGCGCUUUGGACCAGCAAUCUAAUUAGGAUGUAUUUUCAAGUGUAACUUGUCACAAAGUCAAACUUGUCGAUUAGUAUCAAUAAUUUUGAAAAAGAAAGAUUCGCAUUCGUUCUCAACUGGUAAAUAUUUUAUGGAAAUUUAUCAAAGUACCCCCGAGGCCAAAAAAGAAACCUUUCUUAAAAUAAUUAAAGAAUACACACACUUAGAGAGCGGUUGGAAUCAAAGCUGACAUUUUAAAGCACAACAAAAUGUAUUUCAGACAAUCGUGCAUAUGUACAGCGGGGGUCACACAAGUGCAGUCGGAGCAUUUAUUUGCAUUGAUUUAGUCGGACUCCGAGAUAAUAGCAAGUA